CACAGGCUUUAAAGCUAAACUGAAGCUUGGGGACGGGAUUGAGCUGCAGGCACCGAGGGGAAGCAGCAGACCCCACGCUGUGCAGUCUCAAGCUUCGACUGAAAGCGGCCAGCUUCCAAACAAAGAAAACAAAUCUGGACUAAAACUAAAGCAGUUAUUAUCUGCGGAUUUUACAAAAGAAAAUUAACAAGAUUCGGAGUGCUGAGGGCGAAAAAAGGGAGUCCGUCCCAGCGGUAAGGAGAAAAUGGCGUCUGGCGGAAGACUGAGAGAGGACUGAAAGUAAGAAAGCAGCCGCCAAGUGAGGUUCGCAGAAAAUCCUUGGUUACUAUGUUCCGAGGUAACGAUUUGUGGGGAAACAACAGAGAGGCAUAGAAGGGGAGGCAAAACUUCUUUGUAUCGUCUUGGUUGAAGCGUCCUGUGCCAGUGGUCGGAGAGUGAGCUUAAAAUGCCCACCAGUGAACACCCGUGAACUCUGCUUUUUUCCUGCUGUUUGUAAAGAGGUUGGGCAGAAGUCUAUGUUGGAGUCACAGUCGGUACGUUUGCAGGAGCAAGAAAGAAGAGACUUGGGGAUUGCUGUGAAUUGCUGUGAAUAUCUGCUGAAGUUCUAUCUGAGCCUCUCCUUUGCUUUUUUCGCCCUCUAUGUGGGGGAGGAGAUAAACGGUACGCUUUAUAAUGCUUGAUUAUCGGUCUUGAGUGGAGAAUUUAUGGAUUAAGCUGAUAAGGAACCGGAAAAAGAAGAUUUUGUAUUUGGAGUACAACACGAAGAAUAAGUCUUUGACUUUUAUUUUUAUCUUUACUUCUUACUCCUGUUUUCCCCCCUCUCCCCCCUCUUCUUCUUUCCUGAUCUUUUCCCUCCCUUUCCUUACUCUAUCGCCCCUCGUGUAUCCCUUCCCCCACCCUUAUUUCCCACCCCUUCUCUCUUUUUUAUCUGCUCUCCCUCCCUCCCUCCCUUUCUGCUCUCUCCGUGUUUUGGAGGUUUCAUCCCCUUCUUUACUUUUUGUGCCUUUCUUCCUGACACUCUAUGGCAGUCUCCCAGUCUAGUCCUCCAGCCACGUGAAAGGGGAAAUUCCAUUUGAAGGACAAAGAAAUGGAAAGUAACUUUACUUAAGGAAGGAUUUUUAUUGAAUUUACAGGAACUGCUGCCACUGUGUGGGGAAAGAGGGGACUGCAAUUGGGAAAUUUGAAAAACAGUAUACAUUAAUUUGCGACCCCUAGGGGUGGAAAUUAGAAUAACAUUAGUAAAUAAAUAUCUGAUUAAGCAAUUGUGACAGAAUGAAGAAAAGAUUGGGAACACCAGGAGAAAGAAGACCAUCUAGACAGGAGAAUGGCAAGAAUGGGAAAGAGAUAAAGGACUAUGAUGCGUUGAUGGUUGAAAUAAGAAAGGAGUUUAAACAAAAUGAACAAUAUAUUGAGAAAUUGUUAGAAGUUCAGGAUACAUUAGAUAAGAAACUGGAGGGGGUGGUGGGAGAACUGACAGGUAAAGUAAAGGACUUAACGGUAAGAUCUAAAGUGUUGGAAGAGUCAAUGAAAAGGGCUCAGAAAGAUCUAAAGGAAAGUAAAAAGGAGACAGAUAGGAUCAGAGGAGAAAUAAAGGACAUAAGUAAAACACAAGAAGAACUACUGGAUAAUAUGUCAAUGCUAGAAAUGAGGCAGAAACAGUUGAAUUUGAAAUUCAGAGGUAUUCCUGAGGGGAUAAACGAAAAUAUAAGAGCUAAAUUAAUUAAAGAAUUAGCAAACUGGCUAGACAUGAGGAAAGAGGAGAUAGGCUAUACAAUAGCAAAUGCAUUUCGAAUAAAGGUAAAAUCUGCCAGAGCAAGAGGGAAGAAAUUGCUGGGGAUGUACCGGUUAUGUUCAACCUUAUGGACAUGAGGAAUGAGAUACUGAGAUUAAAUUAUAAUAAAAACGUAUGCAUUGAUGGGAAGGCAAUUAUUGUAUUCAAGGAGGUUCCAGCCAGAUUUCUUUUUCUUUUUUUUUUUAAAUAAUUUUUAUAAAAGUUUUAAACAACAAAGAAACAACACACACAAAAAGCAAUACAAAACUCAACAAUAAAAAACAAAAAACGUAACAAUUAAAAACAAACUCUCUUUUCCAUUUCCAUUUUUAGAUUACUUAUUUUCUGGACUUCCUCAUACCUCCCUCUUUUGUAUUCCAAUCCAAAUUAUUUGUCCAGCAGUUUCUUUUCCACUUUUUUAAUCCCAAUCUUUAAUUUAAUAAAAUAUUAAAAUAUAUAACUUCAACUUCUUUAAACCUAAUCCUUGAUCUUAAUAUCAUAUAACAUUAAAAUUUUCCCUUUUAAUAUCAAAUUUCCAUUUCUUUAAACAUCUUUAAUCUUGAUCUUUAAUCUUAGUCUAUCAUUAACUUUAACUUGUGCAGCUGGAAACCACUUAUUUUCAGUCCAACAUCACUCUAACAUUCCUUAAUUUUGCAAUGUUUCUGAAGAUAGUCUUUGAAUUUCUUCCAAUCUUCCUCCAUCGACUCUUCUCCCUGGUCACGGAUUCUACCAGUCAUUUCUGCCAAUUCCAUAUAGUCCAUAAGUUUCAUCUGCCAUUCCUCCAGCGUGGGAAGUUCUUGUGUCUUCCAAUACUUUGCGAUGAGUAUUCUUGCUGCUGUUGUUGCAUACAUAAAGAAAGUUCUAUCCUUUUUAACACCAUUUGGCCCACUAUGCCCAGGAGAAAGGCCUCUGGUUUCUUAUGGAAGGUAUACUUAAAUACCUUUUUAAUUCAUUAUAUAUCAUUUCCCAGAAAGCCUUAAUAUUUGGGCACGUCCACCAAAGGUGAAAGAAUGUACCUUCGGUUUCUUUACAUUUCCAACAUUUGUUAUCGGGCAAGUGAUAGAUUUUUGCAAGCUUGACUGGGGUUAUGUACCACCUGUAUAUCAUUUUCAUAAUAUUCUCUCUUAAGGCAUUACAUGCCGUAAAUUUCAUACCUAGUGGUCCAUAACUGUUCCCAGUCAGCAAACAUAAUGUUAUGUCCAAUGUCCUGUGCCCAUUUAAUCAUAGCCGAUUUUACCGUUUCAUCCUGAGUAUUCCAUUUCAGCAGCAAGUUAUACAUUCUUGUCAAAUUCUUCGUAUUGGGUUCUAUCAGUUCUAUUUCUAAUUUUGAUUUUUCCACCUGGAAGCCAAUUUUCCUGUCUAAUUUAAAUGCCUCCAUUAUUUGAUAAUAAUGAAGCCAGUCUCGCACUUUGUUUUUAAUUUUUCAAAACUCUGCAAUUUCAGUCUAUCUCCGUCUUGUUCCAAAAUUUCCCAAUAUUUCGGCCAUUUGACCUCCAUAUUGACCCUUUUCAAGGCUUUCGCUUCCAUUGGUGACAGCCACCUUGGGGUUUUAUUUUCUAGCAAAUCCUUAUAUCUAAUCCAAACAUUACAUAAUGCUUUCCUGACAAUGUGGUUUUUAAAUGCUUUGUGUGCUUUGACCUUAUCAUACCAUAAAUAUGCAUGCCAUCCAAAUACAUUAUUGAAACCUUCCAAAUCCAAAAUGUCAGUGCAAAACGCAUUUAGAAUGAAGGCAAGAACAACUAAGACAAGGAAAUCUCCGGGAGACUGUCUAAUUAUAUUCAAGGACAGAGAAAUGAGAAAUAUGAUCUUGCAGAAGAACAGAGAGAAAAGAUUGAAUAUUGAUGGGAAUUAUAUAAUUAUUUUUAAAGAUAUACCAAUCAGACUGUUGAAACGGAGAGAUCCAUAUAAACCAUUGGUGCAAAUUUUAAAGAAGAACAAAAUAGAAUUCAAGUGGGAAUUUCCAGAGGGGAUCUCUUUUUUCUAUGAAAGUAAGAAACACAAACACACAAGCUCAGAGGAAGCAAGCAAGUUUCUGAGAAGAUACAAGGAAUUAAGACCAGAAGAGGAAGAAAUAAGAGGUGCAGCAGCAGGAGCAGGAGCUACGGGGGAAAGUGGAUUGGGAGAGGGAGAAGAAGAAGAUGGAAGAAACACAG
rnacentral:lncRNA from 1 species